AAUAAUUUCUUUUCGUUUUUAAUUCAAUUCGAAGCGCGAAUCCGUUUAAUUUUAAAUUUAAACAAAUUCAAAUGAAAACGAACUUCAAUUUCGAAACGAGACAAAUUAACCUUGAACUUGACUGCACUUUCACGGCCGGUUUAAUUCAUUUAUUAAAUUUUAAUUUUGAAUUUAAAUCAAAUGUAUUUAAGUACUUGAAACAAUUUAAUUGUAAUCACGGACCGGUUUACAGCAAGCGAUUUAAAUUUAAUUCAGAAUUAUUUUAAUUCGUUUCGUUUCACGUUUUACGAUUCAGUUGAUUCAGUAAUUAAAGGCCGGUUUACAGCAAAUGAUUUAAAUUUUAAUUCCGAAUUAAAGAAUAAUUUGUUUCCAUUUUUAAUUUAAUUCGAAGCGCGAAUCAGUUUAAGUUUAAAUUUAAACAAAUUCGAAUGAAAACGAAUUAUUUUAUUUCAGAAUUUGAAUUUGUUCUUUCGGUCCACUUUCGUAAAAAACCAUUACGAUGUAAAUGACUAAUCUGUUACCAUGACAACUUAUAUAAUACAUAAAAGCCAAGAGUACGCUUUUUGCACCACAAUAUUUUUUAUGAAAGUGAACCGAAAAUAAUUAAUUCGUUUUAAUCUUUUUGGCUUGGCUGCUGCUGUUUUUGUAGCAUCAUUGGCUUGAUAUUAAUUUUAUUAAUUUCCAUCCUUAUUUUGAGACGUUCUGUAUCAAUACAUUAUUUUAAAAAGACUCUUUGAUGCUAUUUAAACAUCAGUAUCAUCUUAAUAGAGGUGUGCUUAACGAUUUAAAUUUAUUUACUGCAAUUAUUUUGUCUUUUAUUUUUAAAUUAACAUUCAUAUCGUCCUGCAGUUUGGUAUAAAUACGUAUUGAUAAGCACAUCUCUAAUAAAAAAGGGAAGUAUGUACGGAAUUCGUGUUCUGAUGUAACGUUUUUUUCACCACUACCGAAAGUAGCCAACAAAAUUCAUAAUUUUUACGCGUCUUUUCUUUUCUUGCUUUAAUUUACUUUAUUCUUCACUCUAUCUUUUCUUCUCUUUCUUUCCUUUUUCCUCGUCUUUUUUUUCUUUUUUUUCUUUUCCGUCAUAUUAUUGCUUCAAAUGGGAAUAGAUGUAACCGCUGAUGCUGACUGACUGUAGUCAUUCAAUUUGUUUCCAAUUCAUUGAAGAAAAAGCUAUGAAUGCAAUUUUACUUAUGAGAUAUUUUCCUCACUCCAAGUAAUUUUUUGCUUGCGUCACCAUCGCCUACUGGGCCAACCGGGGAUUUUGAAUUAAUUCACAUUGUCACAUCGAAAACAAAUGGUCUCGUAGCAUGGUGCUGAACCAUUGGGAAAAGGAAACUAUCUGAUGAUUAUAAUAAAAGACGUAAGUGAACGUCGCUCCAACUCAUGGCAUGUUGGGGGAAAAGUGGAGGAAAUAAUAAAAAAAAAUUUGGAUUCGAUGGAAUUGACUGAUCUAAUUAUGAUUUCUUAAAAGUGGGUGAAUAUGAUUCUCUUGAAUAAGUGGGCACUGAUUAUUUUCCUAUGACUAAAUUUUAACAAAAUUGAUCAAAAAAAAAAAAUAGCAAACCCCUAGAUUUGUUAAUGUAUCAAUGGUGUACUAAGCUCGUAGUAAAAUCGAAUAAAGACUCGAUCUCAUUAAUUUGAGUGUGUUAGUCGUGCUGAUGCUCCUCGAUAGACACAUACCUAUAAACGGUAUUAGCUGUCGUGCAAAUACAUAUCCUAGAUAUGUAGAGGAGAAGCUGCGAGCAAAAAAUUGUACACUAAAUACAGGCAUUUUCUAGGAUGGCUUUGCAUUCAUUAAAAAAAACACAAAAAAUACACAAAAAAAUAAAAAAAAAUAUCAAAAAAAUAAAAAAAAAUAACAAAAAAAAUAAAAAAAAUAACAAAAAUAAAAAGAAUAAAAAAAUGGUCGGAAAAGGAAAUUAAUCAUUGCCUGUUUAUUUAAGAGAAUUGUUCAGGUCACCCAAGAAUCAUAAUUAGAUCAGUGAAUUUCAUCGCGUCCGCCUCUGCUUUUCUCCCAUUUGCCAUGAGUUUGAGUGGCGUUCCCGUCUUUUAUUAUAAUCAUCACACUGUUUCCUUUUCCUGGUGGUAUCUGCACUGUGCCACGAGACCAUUUGUUUUCGAUGGAACAGUGUGGGUUAAUUUAAAAUCACCAACUGGCCCAUUUAGUCGAUUAUGGCACCAGCAAGAAUUAUUUGGACUGAGAAUAAAAUAUUUUAUGGGUAAUGCGCGUUUAUAGUUUUUUCUCUUUGUUUUUUUUAACGGUGUCACAUUAUCACAGUCAGCAAUUGCUUUCCCAUUUAUUUCCACUUUAAGCGAUUUUUUGUCAAUAUUUUUUUUUUUGUUAAUUUAAUGAAUUUGGUGGCUGAUUUCGGUAGCGGAUUUUAUUUAAUGUAAAGCUCGAGUCUUGUUAUAAGUACAUACUUUCCUUUAUCAGGUAGGUAAAUUUAAAUUAAUUCUAACUUUUUUUUAUAAUAUAAUAAAGGUCGGUUUACAUUAACCCAAUUGCAGUCAAACUGCUGAUCACGUGAUCAAAUUGAUUGGUGAAUUAAUUUUUAAUUCAGUCUUUUUUAAACCGGGUUUUAGUAUAUUAUUUUUUUAUUAGCCGAGGUUUUGGGUUUGUAAUUUUGGGUACAGAAAAUAUUUUUGUUUUAUUUUGUAACAUUAAUCUUAGGUUUGGUUUAUUUGUUUUUCCAUUUUUGGUGUGUGUAUAAUUUUAACCUUCAUAGGGGAAUUUUUAGACGCUUUAUCUAAAUUUUUUAUUUACAUUGACAAAUAGAGUCAAUCCCUCCAAAAGCAGCUUUUACAAUUCUCGUAUAAAUUUCGGUUAAGUCUGUUAAUCGUGGUAUCGUGUAAUAUGAAUAAAUGUUAAAUUUUUUUUUAUAAAUAAGUAAAUUUAUCCGACGAUUGUAAAUGCAGCUCUUAUUAUUUUUAUUUAUAUUAAUCAUAAAUAAUUUCUUUGUUUCUUAGAAAUUCUUAUCACAUGUUUUGCUUCCACCUUCAAGGGUUGCCCAACACGAAUGCAAAGAUUGCAUUAAACAGUCGUCAAAUGUGCUAACCAUUGCAAUUUCCACUUGGAGUUAUGAAUUUUGAGAGCUCAAAAGCUAGUGUCUGUGUUGGAUUUAUUACGGCCUGGUUGCGGCGGGCCUGCAGGAUUCGGAGGAUUUCAAAGGCGUUCUUCGUCUGGUUCUUCAGAGAUUAUUUUUUAACUGACAAUAAUUAUCAUUAAACGUUGUUAUAUUUGUGUGAUUGAUUAUGUUUUUUUUAAUAAACGCUAAAGAAA